UACAGAGGUGGCAAGCGUUGUUCGGAUUUACUGGGCGUAAAGGGUGCGUAGGUGGUUUGGUAUGUCGGGCGUGAAAUUCCACUGCUCAACGGUGGAACGCCGUCCGAAACUACCGGGCUAGAGUGCAGGAGAGGAGAGCGGAACUCUUGGUGUAGCGGUGGAAUGCGUUGAUAUCAAGAAGAACACCAGUGGCGUAGGCGGCUCUCUGGAAUGCAACUGACACUGAGGCACGAAAGCGUGGGGAGCAAAC
rnacentral:rRNA from 1 species